rnacentral:rRNA from 1 species
GCUAUCCAGUGCUCUACCUCCGGCAAGAAACACGUGACGCUGCACCUAAAUGCAUUUCGGGGAGAACCAGCUAUCACGGAGUUUGAUUGGCCUUUCACCCCUACCCACAGCUCAUCCCCGCAGUUUUUAACCUACGUGGGUUCGCGCCUCCACAACCUCUUACAGCUGCUUCACACUGGCCAUGGGUAGAUCACCCCGCUUCGGGUCCAGGACAUGCCACUAUACACCCCAUUAGGAUUCGGUUUCCCUACGGCUACCCCACACGGGUUAACCUCGCGACAUGCCGCUGACUCGCAGGCUCAUUCUUCAAAAGGCACGCCAUCACCACACAGGCUCUGACGGCUUGCAUGCGACCGGUUUCAGGAACUCUUUCACUCCCCUCCCGGGGUACUUUUCACCCUUCCCUCACGGUACUCAUCCACUAUCGGUCACCAAGGAGUAUUUAGGCUUGACGGGUGGUCCCGCCAGAUUCACGCGAAAUUCCACGAGUCCCACGCUACUCGGGGCAACCCCACACCAGUGCCACGCUUACAGUUACAGGACUCUCACCCACUCCGGUACGCCUUCCCAGACGCUUCACCUUCACGCAACAUUUCUCACUGGCCAAUCCUGCGGCAGCAGAACCACAAGGCCCCCACAACCCCGCACAUGCAACACCUGCCGGCUUGAACACACACACGGUUUAGCCUCCUCCGCUUUCGCUCGCCACUACUCACGGAAUCACACUUGUUUUCUCUUCCUACGGGUACUAAGAUGUUUCACUUCCCCGCGUUACCACCCACACCCCUAUACAUUCAGGGCAGGGCCACCGGACACUACUCCGGACAUUCCAGGUUUCCCCAUUCGGACACCCCCGGAUCACAGCUCGCUCACCAACUCCCCAGGGCUUAUCGCAGGUCACAACGUCCUUCAUCGGCUCUUGGUGCCAAGGCAUCCACCGAUCGCACUACACAACUUUGCUCCCCAUUCGGACACCCCC